GCUCUCGUGGGCCAUGGUGGUCGCCUCGAUUUGAUGAGAGGACUUCAAAUAAUCAAAUUCCGACCGAGGAGCCGGAGGUUCGAUUCCUCCUGAGGGCA